rnacentral:rRNA from 1 species
GUACGCGAGCUGGGUUUAGAACGUCGUGAGACAGUUCGGUCCCUAUCUGCCGUGGGCGCUGGAGAACUGAGGGGGGCUGCUCCUAGUACGAGAGGACCGGAGUGGACGCAUCACUGGUGUUCGGGUUGUCAUGCCAAUGGCACUGCCCGGUAGCUAAAUGCGGAAGAGAUAAGUGCUGAAAGCAUCUAAGCACGAAACUUGCCCCGAGAUGAGUUCUCCCUGAGACUUAGAGUCUCCUGAAGGAACGUUGAAGACGACGACGUUGAUAGGCCGGGUGUGUAAGCGCAGCGAUGCGUUGAGCUAACCGGUACUAAUGAACCGUGAGGCUUAACCUUACAACGCCGAAGCUGUU